rnacentral:rRNA from 1 species
AGUCGAGCGGAUGAGGGGAGCUUGCUCCCUGAUUCAGCGGCGGACGGGUGAGUAAUGCCUAGGAAUCUGCCUGGUAGUGGGGGACAACGUUUCGAAAGGGACGCUAAUACCGCAUACGUCCUACGGGAGAAAGUGGGGGAUCUUCGGACCUCACGCUAUCAGAUGAGCCUAGGUCGGAUUAGCUAGUUGGUGAGGUAAUGGCUCACCAAGGCGACGAUCCGUAACUGGUCUGAGAGGAUGAUCAGUCACACUGGAACUGAGACACGGUCCAGACUCCUACGGGAGGCAGCAGUGGGGAAUAUUGGACAAUGGGCGAAAGCCUGAUCCAGCCAUGCCGCGUGUGUGAAGAAGGUCUUCGGAUUGUAAAGCACUUUAAGUUGGGAGGAAGGGUUGCUGAUUAAUACUCUGCAAUUUUGACGUUACCGACAGAAUAAGCACCGGCUAACUCUGUGCCAGCAGCCGCGGUAAU